rnacentral:rRNA from 1 species
CGAGCACGCGCGUGUGGCAUAUCAAUAAGCGGAGGAAAAGAAACUAACAAGGAUUCCCUUAGUAACGGCGAGUGAAGCGGGAAGAGCUCAAAUUUGAAAUCUUCAAGGUUCUACCUUGACGAAUUGUAGUUUAUAGAAGUGUUUUCUGUUAGUGGAGUGGCAAAAGUUCUUUGGAAUAGGACAUCAUAGAGGGUGAGAAUCCCGUAUUUGGUCAUUCCUCCUAGCGUUGUGAUACACUUUCAACGAGUCGGAUUGUUUGGGAAUGCAGUCCAAAAUGGGUGGUAAAUUUCAUCUAAAGCUAAAUAUUGGCGAGAGACCGAUAGCGAACAAGUACCGUGAGGGAAAGAUGAAAAGAACUUUGAAAAGAGAGUUAAACAGUACGUGAAAUUGUCAAAAGGGAAGCGUUUGACACCAGUGUUGUUUUUCCGAAAAUCAAUUACGAAUGUUUUAUUUUUGAGAGAGUUAUGACUUCAUCGGCUUGCUUCCUUUCCUUACUGGAACUUUCUUAAUGCACUUUUCGGUUAACAAGUCAACAUCAAUUUCUUUUGUUGUAAAAGGGUAUGAGGAAGGUGGCUUUCUUCUCGGAGAAAGUGUUUAUAGCCUUGUGCCUCUGCAAUCGGAGAGAUUGAGGUCUGCAGCGUAGAUCCUUCGGGGUUAGAUACGUUUGUGCUAAGUUAUAGCUUUUCAUAGACAACAUUGUUGACUAUGAUUUAAUCAUUGUAGCUUACUCGCUUAUGCUAUUUUACCUACGCUUAGGAUGUUGAACUCUAUCACACACAG